rnacentral:rRNA from 1 species
CCUGGUUGAUCCUGCCAGUAAUCAUAUGCUUGUCUCAAAGAUUAAGCCAUGCAUGUCUAAGUACAUGCCGAAAUAAGGCGAAACCGCGAAUGGCUCAUUAAAUCAGUUAUGGUUCCUUAGAUCGUUUCUUCCUACUUGGAUAACUGUGGCAAUUCUAGAGCUAAUACAUGCAGUGAGCCUGGAGCCCUUUGGGUAACGGGUGCUUUUAUUAGACCAAGAUCGAUCGGGUUUCGGCCCGUAUUGUGUGGUGACUCUGGAUAACUUUGUGCUGAUCGCAUGGCCACGAGCCGGCGACGUUUCUUUCAAGUGUCUGCCUUAUCAACUUUCGAUGGUAGGUUACUUGCUUACCAUGGUUGUUACGGGUAACGGAGAAUCAGGGUUCGAUUCCGGAGAGGGAGCCUGAGAAACGGCUACCACAUCCAAGGAAGGCAGCAGGCGCGCAAAUUACCCACUCCCGGCACGGGGAGGUAGUGACGAAAAAUAACAAUACGGGACUCUUUUGAGGCCCCGUAAUUGAAAUGAGUACACUCUAAAUCCUUUAACGAGGAUCAAUUGGAGGGCAAGUCUGGUGCCAGCAGCCGCGGUAAUUCCAGCUCCAAUAGCGUAUACUAAAGCUGCUGCGGUUAAAAAGCUCGUAGUUGGAUCUCAGUUCCAGACGAGUAGUGCAUCUACCCGAUGCGACGGCUCGGACUGAACAUCAUGCCGGUUCUUUCUUGGUGCACUUCAUUGUGUGCCUCGAGAUGGCCGGUGCUUUUACUUUGAAAAAAUUAGAGUGCUCAACGCAGGCGAGUCGCCUGAAUAAACUUGCAUGGAAUAAUAGAACAAGACCUCGUUUCUGUUCUGUUGGUUUUUGGAAUACGAGGUAAUGAUUAAGAGGGACGGACGGGGGCAUUCGUAUUGCGGCGCUAGAGGUGAAAUUCUUGGACCGUCGCAAGACGAACUACUGCGAAAGCAUUUGCCAAGAAUGUUUUCAUUGAUCAAGAACGAAAGUCAGAGGUUCGAAGGCGAUCAGAUACCGCCCUAGUUCUGACCAUAAACGAUGCCAACCAGCGAUCCGCCUGAGUUACUCAAAUGACUCGGCGGGCAGCUUCCGGGAAACCAAAGUAUUUGGGUUCCGGGGGAAGUAUGGUUGCAAAGCUGAAACUUAAAGGAAUUGACGGAAGGGCACCACCAGGAGUGGAGCCUGCGGCUUAAUUUGACUCAACACGGGAAAACUUACCCGGCCCGGACACUGGGAGGAUUGACAGAGAGCUCUUUCUUGAUUCGGUGGAUGGUGGUGCAUGGCCGUUCUUAGUUGGUGGAGCGAUUUGUCUGGUUAAUUCCGAUAACGAACGAGACUCUAGCCUAUUAAAUAGGUGCGGGGUUCCCAGCACCUUACAACCUUCUUAGAGGGACAAGCGGCUCCUAGCCGCACGAAACAGAGCAAUAACAGGUCUGUGAUGCCCUUAGAUGUCCGGGGCCGCACGCGCGCUACACUGAAGGAAGCAGCGUGUCUUUAUCCCUGUCUGAAAAGACUGGGUAACCCGUGGAACUUCUUUCGUGAUUGGGAUAGGGGCUUGCAAUUGUUCCCCUUGAACGAGGAAUUCCCAGUAAGCGCGAGUCAUAAGCUCGCGUUGAUUACGUCCCUGCCCUUUGUACACACCGCCCGUCGCUACUACCGAUUGAAUGAUUUAGUGAGGUCUUCGGACCGAUGUCCGGCGCGGCCUUUCGGUUGCGCCGGUCUGUUGGAAAGAUGACCAAACUUGAUCAUUUAGAGGAAGUAAAAGUCGUAACAAGGUUUCCGUAGGUGAACCUGCGGAAG